UACGGAGGGGGCCAGCGUUGUUCGGAAUCAUUGGGCGUAAAGGGCGCGUAGGCGGCCGGGUAAGUCUGACGUGAAAUCCCUUGGCUCAACCAAGGAAUUGCGUCUUAAACUGCCCAGCUGGAGUCCGGGAGAGGGUAGUGGAAUUCCCAGUGUAGCGGUGAAAUGCGUAGAUAUUGGGAGGAACACCGGUGGCGAAGGCGGCUACCUGGACCGGUACUGACGCUGAUGCGCGAAAGCUAGGGGAGCAAACAGG
rnacentral:rRNA from 1 species